AACGCACCUUGCGCUCUUUGGUAUUCCGAAGAGCAUGCCUGUUUGAGUGUCAUGAAAAUAUCAACCUUGACUUGGGCUUUGUGCACAAGUCCUAGGCUUGGAUGUGGGUGCUUGCCGCUUUAACGCGCGGCUCACCUUAAAUGUAUUAGCUGGAUCAGUCUUUGAGACUUGGUUUGACUUGGCGUAAUAAGUAUUUCGCUAAGGACAUUCUUCGGGAUGGCCUCGUUUCUGGGACACCUGUCCGCUUUCCAAUACAAGUUCCAGAAAUGGACAUGACUUUUUUUUUAAUCAUCUGGCCUCAAAUCAGGUAGGACUACCCGCUGAACUUAA
rnacentral:misc_RNA from 1 species